rnacentral:rRNA from 1 species
GACGAACGCUGGCGGCGUGCCUAAUACAUGCAAGUCGAACGCUUCUUUCCUCCCGAGUGCUUGCACUCAAUUGGAAAGAGGAGUGGCGGACGGGUGAGUAACACGUGGGUAACCUACCCAUCAGAGGGGGAUAACACUUGGAAACAGGUGCUAAUACCGCAUAACAGUUUAUGCCGCAUGGCAUAAGAGUGAAAGGCGCUUUCGGGUGUCGCUGAUGGAUGGACCCGCGGUGCAUUAGCUAGUUGGUGAGGUAACGGCUCACCAAGGCCACGAUGCAUAGCCGACCUGAGAGGGUGAUCGGCCACACUGGGACUGAGACACGGCCCAGACUCCUACGGGAGGCAGCAGUAGGGAAUCUUCGGCAAUGGACGAAAGUCUGACCGAGCAACGCCGCGUGAGUGAAGAAGGUUUUCGGAUCGUAAAACUCUGUUGUUAGAGAAGAACAAGGACGUUAGUAACUGAACGUUCCCUGACGGUAUCUAACCAGAAAGCCACGGCUAACUACGUG